GAAUACAGACGGUUUAAAGCCCUACCGCAGACAUUGACACCACUCCCUUAAGGCUCAGGCAAUGCUGCAGAGUAUAGAGAGGACAGCAAAGUGCCAUGUUCUAAGCACAUGAAAGCCAUGGUAAUCAUGAACUCACAGCUGGGCCCACACAAGUUAGGCCUGCCCAACAGUAGACACGGAUGGGGAGGGGUUCACACAACCCUACCAUUUAUUGGUGUCUAGCAGAUUCUGGGAAAGAAUAAGACAUAGUACCCUGAUGUGGAAACCUAAGGGUUCUUUGGAAAGUCAGGUGUGUUGGAUGGUGUUUUGCUGGGGCAGACACUUGAAGGAGUGUUUUCCCUGAAUUGGACACAAGGUGAAAGGACGUUUGGCUAAAGCAGACACAAGAAGGGAUGUUUCACUGAAGUAGACACAGGAGAGAGGAUGUUCUGCUAAAGCAAGCAUGUGAAAGGACAUGUGAUGAAGGACUAUUCACUAACAACACACAUGUAUUGGUCUGCCUUACAUUGCGUAGUUGAGCUCCAUUUGUCGGGACUCCAUAGAGAGAAAUGCACCAAAAAGCUUCUGGUGCUAUGCAGCGGCUUCUUGCUGCUUCUGAGGAUGUGGGACAAUUGGCAAAGUGAUGUCAGCUGGAACAAACUCACGUGCUGAGACAAGACACAUGGAGGACACAUGAUGUUUGGAGGGAGCAUAAAUAGGACUCAAUGACUGUGAGAGGGGCUUGCUUGUAGAGCUAGCUGUGUAGCUCUUGCUGGUCUCACAUCUUCGCUGAUCUUCACUCCACCUAGAGAGGCAUAGGCAAGAACCCCUGGUGUCCCUGCUGGUCUGAAUCCCUCCUGCUGACUAGUGCUGAAUGGGCUGAGUCCUAGCUGUCUCUGCUAGGUCAUGCCACUGCUGAAUCGUGUUCGCUAUCCCGCACUACGGCACUCGACUGCUGGUGUAUCUGUGAAGUGUUUGCGAGUGGAUCGAGCUGCCGCUGCUGACCUGUGAACUGACCUACUGAUUUCCUGACAACACAGAUGGAAUUUGCUCCAAAGAACCUUUCUAAACAGAUUCUGGCCAAGCAUAAGCUUGCUCUCUGUGUCCUCCGAGGCUCCGCACGCCGCUGCCUUCUGAUGGGCCACAGUUUCGCCGGCAUUCUCUGCCCACCUCCAUUGCUGAACAGGCUGGACCCCGACUCACAACUGUAUGACUGCCUUGUCUCUCCAUCUCCCGCACUGGGCCAGGGCGGAGACCUGUGGCUGCCCUGCCUGCUGUCUUUCUUUCGAAUUCUAAUGUGAGAAGAGGGAAGUGGAAUAAAGAAGCUAAUUCUUGGCUUUGCUAACUGAA